rnacentral:rRNA from 1 species
CCUACGGGUGGCAGCAGUCGAGAAUCAUUCACAAUGGGAGAGAUCCUGAACCAGCCAAGCCGCGUGAGGGAAGACGGCCCUAUGGGUUGUAAACCUCUUUUGUCGGAGAACAAAACCCGGGACGUGUCCCGGACUGCGUGUAUCCGAAGAAAAAGCAUCGGGUAACUCCGUGCCAGCAGCCGCGGUAAUACGGAGGAUGCGAGCGUUGUCCGGAUUUAGUGGGUUUAAGGGGUGCGUAGGCGGUCCGUUAAGUCAGCGGUAAAAUUGCGGGGCUCAACCCCGUCGAGCCGUUGAAACUGGCAGACUUGAGUUGGCGAGAAGUACGCGGAAUGCGCGGUGUAGCGGUGAAAUGCAUAGAUAUCGCGCAGAACUCCGAUUGCGAAGGCAGCGUACCGGCGCCAGACUGACGCUGAGGCACGAAAGCGUGGGGAUCGAACAGGAUUAGAUACCCUUGUAGUC